AUGUUACUGCUGACUGCCAUAACUGAUCAGGAGGUUAUGGUUAUGGGUUAUCACCAAUAAUUUCUUCAACACCAUUACCUAGAAUAACAAAUAGGAUUAGGCAACUUUCCCCCCAAAAAAGAUUUCAAGAUUUUAUUACUAAAUUUUUAAUGAUGUAUUACUAAAUUUUGACUGCGUACUCAUCUCACACUCAGAUGUACUGCCAGGACAACAGAUGUUUAGUAGGGCAGAAUGUAACCCCUUUAAGGAUUAAAACAUUAAUGAUAUAGGCUUGCCCAGUAGGUGGGCUGCAAGAUGAGUAGGACCUACCAUAUAUGGUUUUUUAAAAGCCCUGUCUUCAGAGGAUACAGAGGCCUGCAGAAGAAGGUCACUGGCUAGAGAGUUCCUGCGAGACUAGCUGGUUAUCAAAGCCUAUACUUAUUAAUUUCUGGAUCCAGAGGCCUGCAGAAGAAGGUCCCUGCCUAGAGAACUAGGUGGUUGAGAAGCCUCCAAUACAAGAAGAGGGACCAGCAACAUCAGACUGCAUCUCAACACCAGCCAAGAAAGAUCAAGAUAUAGAACUGUGAGGUUCCAGAUUUUGGUGGGACUUUAAUAGGAGAGAAAGAACUCUCAAACAACCCAACAACUAAAACCCUCAGUUCGGGAUGCACGAGUCUGAGGAAGUCUCUGUAACUUUCUUUUUGAAAAUCCUGUUUCCUUGUAUCAAGAAAAGAAACAGUUUUUGCAUAGGACACCAGGUACAAUGUUUGGGAAUGACAGGUUUGGCUUCUUCUCCAGUCCUUAUGCUGGUUUGAACUGUUUCUGCAAAUAAUGAAGACAGAGGCUGACAUGAUGCACCACAUCUCAUCCAUGUUGAUGCCACCUUGGGGUUCUACAGACUCAUAAGGCAGUCCAGAAUCUUUAUUAUUACAGUCACUGACGAGCAGA